GGUGUGGAAAAACCCAAGCUACCUUAUUUUUUUACUUCUGA
rnacentral:snoRNA from 1 species